rnacentral:ncRNA from 1 species
CAAAGGCAUGGUCCCAACCUUAUUAUCAGCUUUAACUCAAAUUACACAUGCAAGCAUCCGCAGCCCAGUGAAUAUGCCCUCAGUCUCCCACUCGGGGACAAGGAGCAGGUAUCAGGCACAAAGUUUUAGCCCAAGACGCCUAGCCAGGCCACGCCCUCAAGGGAAUUCAGCAGUGAUAAAUAUUAAGCUAUAAGUGAAAGCUUGACUCAGUUAGAGUUAUAUUGGGCCGGUAAAAUUCGUGCCAGCCACCGCGGUUAGACGAAAGGCUCUAGUUGAUGAUGUAACGGCGUAAAGGGUGGUUAAAGAAUAAAAAACUAAUAGAGUAAAAUGGCCCCUCGGCUGUUGUACGCUUCUGGGCGCCUGAGACCCUAACACGAAAGUAACUCUAAUCAAUUUCUUGACCCCACGAAAACUGGGAAACAAACUGGGAUUAGAUACCCCACUAUGCCCAGUCGUAAACUAAGAUAUUAUUCUACAAUUAUAUAUUCGCCAGGGUACUACGAGCACUAGCUUAAAACCCAAAGGACCUGACGGUGUCUCAGAUCCCUCUAGAGGAGCCUGUUCUACAACCGAUUCCCCCCGUUCAACCUCACCACUUCUAGUUAUUUCAGCCUAUAUACCACCGUCGCCAGCUUACCCUGUGAAGGUAACAAAGUAAGCAGGAUGGGCAUAGCCCAGAACGCCAGGUCGAGGUGUAGCGCAUGAAGUGGGAAGAAAUGGGCUACAUUUUCUUUCACAGAACAUUACGAAUUAUUUAUCAUGAAACAGUAUUUGAAGGAGGAUUUAGUAGUAAAAGGGAAAUAGAGUGUCCCUUUGAAUUCGGCUCUGAGACGCGUACACACCGCCCGUCACUCUCCCCCGUCAAAUGUGCACAAAACUGUUCUUAACACAUAAAGCACCGACAAGAGGAGGCAAGUCGUAACACGGUAAGUGUACCGGAAGGUGCACUUGGACCAAACA